CUCGGUGGCUCUAGCGAAGUUGACCCACCCGUUCCCAUCCCGAACACGGAAGUGAAACGCUUCAGCGCCGACGAUACUGGGGGAGCAGUCCUCUGAGGAAAAUAGGUCGCUGCCGGGG
rnacentral:rRNA from 1 species